rnacentral:lncRNA from 1 species
AGGUUAGUUAACCUUUUAUGAAUUGAGUCAAUUCUUGAUGUGUGACUUGUUUUAUUAUGUUUUAUACAUUAUGCUAAAGUUUAUCCACCCUGUAAUUGCUUAUAGGCUAGAAUGUGGCAAUUGCAUUGCAUCUUGUGUUAAUAUAUAGGAUUGAAGCUGGUUUUUUGCACAUUGUGAUUGGUCCGCUGUAUCAAUAUAUCUGACCUGCUGGCUUCUAAAAUUUUGUAAAAAAAUUCGCUACUCAAAAUCGUAGUCUCGAUAUCAACAGACACUCGAUUUCGAUUUCAGACCAGCUGUAUAAGUUGAUUCUCUAUCCUCAAAAGUUGACUUAAAAUAAAGUAUACUCUAUUUUUUUUAAAAGGUUCACUAUUUUUUUGGUUCUAAGAAAUAUUGACUUUUAUUAUGCAAAUAUACAUACACUACAGUAGCAGGGUC